UGCAAGCAAAAGCCUCUGUACAAUAAUACCAAUCAAGGUAGUUAAAUUACCAAAUUUGUUUCUGUUGUUACAAUGGAGGGCUGUAGGACAACAUAGCAAAUAAUAAUAACUACAUAAACAAGCCAUUGAAACCAAUUAUUAACUACAUACACAAGCCAGCCUUUCGAACUGGAUCAGUGGUUUCUUCUUACAGCAUAAGCAUGGAAAAGUACUGCUCAAACUCCUUAUCAAUGGUUAGUUUUGUGGAACUUGGCUGUGAAUCUUGGUUAACAGUCCAUCUUCCAGAUGAAAGAACAUAAUUGUUAGGAUUCACAUUGGCAUUAAGCAAGUUUUCAACUUCUUUUUCUGUUGCGAGCUCAAUGCCCUCAGUCCUGCAUUCUGCGCAAGUGCAAUCCUCAUGAUUCCCCAAUCCCAACAAGUGCUCCUCAUAAUCCAUUGACGGGUCGCAUCCGGAACCGUGAUGUAGAGUACCCCAUACUCUGCCGGUAGGGGAUUGCUCCGGCCUAUCAGGCAUUAAUUUUGUCACUGAUCUGCUCUCCAAAGAAUAAAGGUUGCCCCACAAAUUAACAGAUGAAGUUGAAGCGUGAUCAGAUGAACAUGCUUUCAGACAUCCAGGAUCAAGUUUAGCCUCAUGAGACGUGACAGAAUCAGCAUCUUCACAAAAGCUAUUGCUGCCAUUCUCAGAUUCUAGUUCUAUAUCAUCAUCUUGGCCCCUUGCAGCAUUUUCUACUAUAAUCAUGCAUGCCGAAGAUUCUUUAGCUGCUGUGCCAGUAUGUGAAGAAGUACAUUCAGCAGAGCUCUGAUAUGAGCACACAUGCUUAGGUAGCGGCAUUCCCAAUUGUUCAGCUUGAAACUUCCUUUUCUUGUUAAAGUAAGCAAGGCUGGUAGGCAGUAACUUGCUCAUAUCAACACUGAUACAUGUAAGCGUACAGAAACUUAGAUCACAUUACUUCAUCUUUUACAGUAAUGCAGCAUAUGCUAACCACUUGUUCUAGGAAUAGGUAAAAAAUCUACAUCAGAAAUUAUACCUCUCAAAUCAUAACAGUUAUCUUUCAAGCAUUUGAUGAAGAAAAGGGGAAUUUUACUGACAAAUCUACACAGGCUGAAACUAGGUUCUGGAAGAGCUACUAUACACAUUCCCCAUUUCCCAUUGCGACGUCCUUAAUGCACUUUCUUGUUCUUCUCUGUGUUACUGAGUAUACCCAAUGAGUUCAAAAACUAAAGAUCCAAACUUGGUGGACUCCGUUUCUCAAAUUAAGAGUGGUCGCACUUGAUAAACAUGUCCCUUUAUUUCUUCAUUGGAAAUGAGCUAUCUUG
rnacentral:misc_RNA from 1 species